GACGAACGCUGGCGGCGUGCUUAACACAUGCUAGUCGAACGGAAAUGCCCUGCUUUUGUUGGGUGCUCUAGUGUCGAACGGGUGAGUAACACGUGAGUAACCUGCCCUUUACUUUGGGAUAACUUCAGGAAACUUGUGCUAAUACCGGAUAGGAUCUCCUUCUGCAUGGUGGGGGUUUGAUAGUUUCGGCGGUUGUGGAUGUACUCGAGGCUUAUCAGCUUGUUCGUGGGUUAGUGGCUUACCAAGGCUUUGACGGGUAGCCGGCCUGAGAGGGUGAACGGCCACAUUGGGACUGAGACACGCCACAGACUCCUACGGGCGGCAGCAGUGGGGAAUAUUGAACAAUGGGCGGAAGCAUGAUGCAGCAACGCAGCGUGCGGGAUGACGGCCUUCGGGUUGUAAACCGCUUUCGACUGUGACGAAGCGUGAGUGACGGUAAUGGGUAAAGAAGCCCCGGCUAACUACGUG
rnacentral:rRNA from 1 species